UACGGAGGGAGCAAGCGUUACUCGGAAUUAUUGGGCGUAAAGGGCGCGUAGGCGAUCUGACAAGUCUGGUGUGAAAGCCCACAUGUUAACUGUGGAAGUGCAUUAGAAACUGUUGGAUUUGAGUUCAGGAGAGGAAGGCAGAAUUCCCGGUGUAGCGGUGAAAUGCGCAGAUAUCAGGAGGAACACCGGUGGCGAAGGCGGGUCUCUGGGCCGAUACUGACGCUGAGGAGCGAAAGCGUGGGGAGCGAACAGG
rnacentral:rRNA from 1 species